rnacentral:rRNA from 1 species
GUCUGUAUGAAGGUGUAUAGAGUCUAACCUGCCCACUGAUAAGAUAUUAAAGGGCCGCGGUAUUCUGACCGUGCGAAGGUAGCAUAAUCAUUAGUCUUUUAAUUGGAGGCUUGUAUGAAUGGUUGAACGAAAAAUAAACUGUCUCUUAAUUGAGAAUUGAAUUUAACAUUUAAGUGAAAAGGCUUAAAUAUUGUAAAAAGACGAUAAGACCCUAUAAAUCUUUACAUUACUAUUAGAUUUAAGAUUAAUUGUUAGUUUAUUGUCUUCUAAAUUUUUAAUAAUGUUUUGUUGGGGCAACAUAGAUAGCAUAUUUAUCUGUUUAAAAGAAUUACAGAAAAUACCUGAAUAAAUAAGACAAGAUCCUUUAUAGAGAUUUCAAGAUUAAGUUACUUUAGGGAUAACAGCGUUAUUUUACUUGAGAGUCCAUAUCGAAAGUAAAGUUUGCGACCUCGAUGUUGAAUUAAAAUUUCUUUAUGGUGCAGCCGCUAUAAGAGAGAGUCUGUUCGACUUUUAAAUUUUU